rnacentral:lncRNA from 1 species
GAACAGUCUCUUAGCCUCUCAGCAAGAGGAAGCCAGGGAGUACAAACUUCUUAGAUGGGGAUAUGUUCUGGGAAAUGCAUCAUUAGGUGAUUGCAUCAUUGUGCAAACAUCACUGAGUGUACUUAUACAAACAUAGAUUGUAUAGCUUCCUACACAUCUAGGCUAUAUGGUAUAGCCUGUUGCUUCUAGGCUACAGCCUGGGCAGCAUGUCACUAUACUGAAUACCUUAAGUUUCCUGACCACUUCGCCAUGCAGGGAGGGCCUCUCUCAUCAGUAGCUGUUCUGAGCCUCUCUCAUCAGUAGCUGUUCUGAUUGAGCCGAGAUCAUGCCACUGC